rnacentral:lncRNA from 1 species
UUCAGAGCACAUAAAGUAAAUUUUAAUUAAAACCGACAAAAAAUAAAAACGCACAGCUAAGUACAUACAAUCUGUCAACGAAUGAUAAAUAUGCGCGUGCGCAUCUAAUUAAUUAAGCAUAUGAUUACAUAAAAUUAUAGGGUUUAAACUGGAAGCAAAUUCAUCACAUUAUUCCAACUCUUGGUCCAUCGAUCAUCGUCGAUGAUGAACUUGGCUUAAUUUGGAGAUCGUCGUCGUCGUCGUCAGCCGUCACCAUUAGCUAGCUCUUGGCGUCACGGCACCUCUCCAUGGCCAGGCACCCCCGCGAGUAGCGGUUGGCGGCGGGGCCGAUGCGCUGGAAGCCCCGGCGGCCCGGCGCGCCGUCGGCGAACAGCCCCUGGUAGCUGAUGAAAGUGCCCGACGACGGCAGCUGGGACGUUUGCAUGCCGGGACGGUGGUGACGCCGGCCGUGGCCGCGCCCGCGCCCGGACACGCCGUGGACGGCCAGGACCAGGAAGAGGAGGAGGAGGAGGAGGCUCGCCGCCGCCGGCGACCUGGUGGCCAUUGCUAAUCUCUUGCGCCUUGCUUGCUUGCUUUCUGUGUUAAUUAGCUCUAAUUACAUAGGCACUUAUCUUGUCAGG